UUGAGGAAAUUGGGUCACUAAUAUGGAAAUUUUAAAGUAUUGAUAAUACCAACAUGACAAGUUGUCACUUUGCAGUAUGUUCUUAAACACGACUAAACCCUAAUAACCAGGUUAUUCUAGAAUAAUCAGGGUAACAGAAUGGGAAUGAAUGGCAGUUACUGUAAUUAUUCUAGAAAGAGGACCAAAGCAAACAGAAAUUCUCUCUAAUUUUAUAUAUUCCCAAUAGGUGCACAUAGUACAUCAUUAUCACUAUAGAAACUACUUAGUAGUUUCUCCAAAAAUCAGCUACGCUUCACGGUCUUAUGGGCCAAUGUCUGAGCUGCACAUGAGCCGGCACCCUCUAAUUCAAACAGAGGUAAUUCCAUAACUCUCCGGUCAACUUCUCAAGAUUUCCUGUUUGACAGCUGGGAGAAGGGAAGAUCCCCAUCACCGGUGGGGUCUUUGCUCAAUCUUGGCGACCUCCCCAAUCCCCACAGAUGGUAGGGAGAGCAUCCACACUCCCCGCCAUCCAUCGGGAAUAGAGUGGUCGCUGAGGCUGUGGAGAUGGCAAAGGGACCAGUCGGAGCUGAUGGAUGGUUGGACCUGGCAGAUUCAUAAUCCAGAACCCGAUGCAGCUGCGAGGAAACUAAUGGCUAGCAGGGACCGCGUCGGUCCCCGAGCUAAUACCUGUCUCCUCCAUCACAAAUUGAUGGCAUUAAACAAAAAAGUUGACUCUUUUUCACAUCCUGCCAAUCGAAUUUUUUUCUUUUUGGGUACCCCCUGCAGCCAUCUCAGUGUCGAGUGGCACCAAGGGCACUAAAUGCAGCCUGUGGGAUGGUUUCGGCAGCAUCUGUCAUCCAGGCAUGCCGCUGCCUUGGCUGUCUGGCGGUGGGGGGACAUUGCUGGGCAUUCAUCCCCUUUGGCUGCAUGCUGCAGGAUGGCGUUGCCCCAUGCUGAUAUUUUUUCCAGCAUUGUGUCUCUGGCUCGCCUUCCUCCCUUUGCUAAACAUAUGGUUUCACUUUCCUCUUUCUUCACGGGGAACCGGGACAGUCGAGGCAUAAACUGCUUUUACUUGUUCGUCUCGCAAAGGUUGCGCACGAGGAAGAAGGUCCAAAAAUAACAUCAGUGUGAUAAGUCAUUAGUCAUUUUUCACUGUACAUAUGUUAACUUGACCCACCGUAUGUUAAUUCAUGCAACAUUGGCCUCACAUAUGGCUGCAAUAGGAAUCCCAACUGGUACUUCCUCCUGCAUGGUGCCUCAUUACGGGCAAAACUUCCCAGAGCUUCAUCAUUAACACUUAGGUGAAGUUCGACUUCCAAAUUACUUUGUUGGCCUUAGGUCGGGAAAAGGGCAGAACGAGAAUGAGAAAUAGAGUCUAAAUAUGUCAAUCAAAUCCCUUGCUGCAAUCAGAGAUAAUCUAGAUUAGAAUGCUCCACAUUAUAAACAUUUUCUUUGGCAUUUUCUGUAUCAGCUCCCUUAUAAAUACUCUGUUUUCCAGAUGGGAGCACUGGAUACACACCCGAUCUGUGCUCUGCAGCCAUCGUGUGCACGGGAAUGCCACCAGCUAAAGGAAAAGCAGAGGAGGUGUGAGAAGGACAUGCUCGGCUGCUCCUCACAGGGACCCCAAAGACCCUCCUUGGCCAAGGGGAUGCAGCAGGAAUAUAGAGGGAUGCUCCAGCCUGGGUCUCUCUGCACCGGUCCCAGCAGUGAUGCUUCUGUGGCUGAUACACUGCAGCGAUGCUGCCUUCUUGGAGAAAUUCUUGCAAAGCAGUUAAAGCUCUGGCAACCGCCGGCGUUCGUGGAUACCUACAGCUAAAACCCAGCACAACAAACCCCAGCCAAGGCAAUGUUUUGAAACCAAACAGGCCAGAGUUUGUAACUGCCCAAUCUGCUUAUGCUGGUGGGCAGGAGCAGUUAACCUAACGAUCGGUACAGCAGUUAUGUGAUUACAGAGGCAAUGCGGAGACGAGGGGGUAGGAUCCGAGGUCUGUGUUGCUACCUUGCAAAUCUGCUCUCUCCUCCCAGCCCUGAACAUCCAGCACUGCACAUCCAGCACUGCAUGUUGAAUUUCAAGGUGUGGCAUUUGCCUUUUGCCAUAAAUACUGGGUGAGGAAAGAGCCCUGAAGUCUACAGCCCAGCAGGUUUUUUCUUUUCCUUCCUGUAGAGAACAUUGAUGUUUGAUGGUGGGGAGGGCUUUUAGUAGGCAAAACACACGAUUUUUUAAGCAGAAAAUGUACAUUAACAAUAUUUUCUCCUGCAGCCAUACAUUUUUUUUUUCAAACUCAAGCCUCAGCCAUCGGCCUGUAAAUUCUAAUUGUUAUUAAUUUAAAGCAAUUAAAAAUUGUGGCUUUC